GCGGGCAUAGCUCAGUGGUAGAGCGACAGCUUCCCAUGCUGUAAGUCGCGGGUUCAAAUCCCGUUGCCCGCUCCA
rnacentral:tRNA from 1 species